rnacentral:rRNA from 1 species
UUGCUCCUCUGACGUUAGCGGCGGACGGGUGAGUAACACGUGGAUAACCUACCUAUAAGACUGGGAUAACUUCGGGAAACCGGAGCUAAUACCGGAUAAUAUAUUGAACCGCAUGGUUCAAUAGUGAAAGACGGUUUUGCUGUCACUUAUAGAUGGAUCCGCGCCGCAUUAGCUAGUUGGUAAGGUAACGGCUUACCAAGGCAACGAUGCGUAGCCGACCUGAGAGGGUGAUCGGCCACACUGGAACUGAGACACGGUCCAGACUCCUACGGGAGGCAGCAGUAGGGAAUCUUCCGCAAUGGGCGAAAGCCUGACGGAGCAACGCCGCGUGAGUGAUGAAGGUCUUCGGAUCGUAAAACUCUGUUAUUAGGGAAGAACAAAUGUGUAAGUAACUAUGCACGUCUUGACGGUACCUAAUCAGAAAGCCACGGCUAACUACGUGCCAGCAGCCGCGGUAAUACGUAGGUGGCAAGCGUUAUCCGGAAUUAUUGGGCGUAAAGCGCGCGUAGGCGGUUUUUUAAGUCUGAUGUGAAAGCCCACGGCUCAACCGUGGAGGGUCAUUGGAAACUGGAAAACUUGAGUGCAGAAGAGGAAAGUGGAAUUCCAUGUGGUUA